rnacentral:rRNA from 1 species
AGAGUUUGAUCAUGGCUCAGGACGAACGCUGGCGGCGUGCUUAACACAUGCAAGUCGAGCGGUAAGGCCCUUCGGGGUACACGAGCGGCGAACGGGUGAGUAACACGUGAGCAAUCUGCCCUCCACAUCGGGAUAACCCCCGGAAACGGGAGCUAAUACCGGAUACGACCACUUCAGGCAUCUGAUGGUGGUGGAAAGUUCUGGCGGUGGAGGAUGAGCUCGCGGCCUAUCAGCUUGUUGGUGGGGUAAUGGCCCACCAAGGCUUCGACGGGUGGCCGGCCUGAGAGGGUGACCGGCCACACUGGGACUGAGACACGGCCCAGACUCCUACGGGAGGCAGCAGUGGGGAAUAUUGGACAAUGGGCGAAAGCCUGAUCCAGCAACGCCGCGUGAGGGAUGACGGCCUUCGGGUUGUAAACCUCUUUCAGCGCAGACGAAGCGAAAGUGACGGUAUGCGCAGAGGAAGCACCGGCCAACUACGUGCCAGCAGCCGCGGUAAUACGUAGGGUGCGAGCGUUGUCCGGAAUUAUUGGGCGUAAAGAGCUCGUAGGCGGCUCGUCGCGUCGACCGUGAAAACCCGCAGCUUAACUGCGGGCUUGCGGUUGAUACGGGCGGGCUAGAGUUCGGUAGGGGAGACUGGAAUUCCUGGUGUAGCGGUGAAAUGCGCAGAUAUCAGGAGGAACACCGGUGGCGAAGGCGGGUCUCUGGGCCGAUACUGACGCUGAAGAGCGAAAGCGUGGGGAGCGAACAGGAUUAGAUACCCUGGUAGUCCACGCUGUAAACGUUGGGCGCUAGGUGUGGGGGGCCUCUCCGGUUCUCUGUGCCGCAGCUAACGCAUUAAGCGCCCCCCCUGGGGAGUAC